rnacentral:misc_RNA from 1 species
GCAAACUUGGUCAUUUAGAGGAAGUAAAAGUCGUAACAAGGUCUCCGUAGGUGAACCUGCGGAGGGAUCAUUACCGAGUUCAUGCCCCCUCGGGGGUAGAUCUCCCCACCCUUGUGUAUUUUAUACCUUUGUUGCUUUGGCAGGCCGCUGGGCUGCGUGCCUGGCCACCCGGCUUCUCAGAAGCUGGUGCGUGCCUGCCAGAGGCCCCCAAACUCUUGUUUGUCUAGUGUCGUCUGAGCAUUAUUGCAAAUCGUUAAAACUUUCAACAACGGAUCUCUUGGUUCUGGCAUCGAUGAAGAACGCAGC